rnacentral:rRNA from 1 species
UGCGAGUCAACAUAGCAAUAUGUGGCAUACGGSUCAGUAACACGUAGUCAACAUGCCCAGGGGACGUGGAUAACCUCGGGAAACUGAGGAUAAACCGCGAUAAGUCACUACUUCUGGAAUGGGUAAUGACUUAAAUCUAUAUGGCCCCUGGAUUGGACUGCGGCCGAUCAGGCUGUUGGUGAGGUAAUGGCCCACCAAACCUGUAACCGGUACGGGCUCUGAGAGGAGGAGCCCGGAGAUGGGCACUGAGACAAGGGCCCAGGCCCUAUGGGGCGCAGCAGGCGCGAAACCUCUGCAAUAGGCGAAAGCCUGACAGGGUUACUCUGAGUGAUUUCCGUUAAGGAGAUCUUUUGGCACCUCUAAAAAUGGUGCAGAAUAAGGGGUGGGCAAGUCUGGUGUCAGCCGCCGCGGUAAUACCAGCACCCCGAGUGGUCGGGACGUUUAUUGGGCCUAAAGCAUCCGUAGCCGGUUCUGCAAGUCUUCCGUUAAAUCCACCUGCUUAACAGAUGGGCCGCGGAAGAUACUAUAGAGCUAGGAGGCGGGAGAGGCAAGCGGUACUCGAUGGGUAGGGGUAAAAUCCGUUGAUCCAUUGAAGACCACCAGUGGCGAAGGCGGCUUGCCAGAACGCGCUCGACGGUGAGGGAUGAAAGCUGGGGGAGCAAACCGGAUUAGAUACCCGGGUAGUCCCAGCUGUAAACGAUGCAGACUCGGUGAUGAAUUGGCUUUAUGCCUAUUCAGUGCCGCAGGGAAGCCGUUAAGUUUGCCGCCUGGGGAGUACGGUCGCAAGACUGAAACUUAAAGGAAUUGGCGGGGGAGCACCACAACGGGUGAAGCCUGCGGUUCAAUUGGUC